rnacentral:rRNA from 1 species
ACGGGAGGCAGCAGUGGGGAAUAUUGGGCAAUGGGUGCAAGCCUGACCCAGCGACGCCGCGUGAGGGAAGAAGGUCUUCGGAUUGUAAACCUUAGUCAACAGGGAAGAAGAAAGUGACGGUACCUGUGGAGGAAGCCACGGCUAACUACGUGCCAGCAGCCGCGGUAAUACGUAGGUGGCAAGCGUUAUCCGGAUUUACUGGGUGUAAAGGGAGCGUAGGCCGUGCUUUAAGCGUGUUGUGAAAUGUAGGCGCCCAACGUCUGCACUGCAGCGCGAACUGGAGCACUUGAGUACGCAGGAAGUAGGCGGAAUUCGUCGUGUAGCGGUGAAAUGCUUAGAUAUGACGAAGAACUCCGAUUGGGAAGCCAGCUUACUGUAGCGCCACUGACGCUGAUGCUCGAAAGCGUGGGUAUCGAACAGGAUUAGAUACCCUGGUA